AUGCACGCUGGCGGCAUGCCUAACACAUGCAAGUCGAUCGGUAAGGCUCUUCGGAGUACACGAGAGGCGGACGGCUGAGUAACGCGUAGGAACACACCCUGCAGUGAGGGAUAAGACACCGAAAGGUGUUCUAAUACCGCAUACGGUCUUCGGAUUAAAGCAUUUAUGCGCUGAAGGAGUGGCCUGCGUCAUAUUAGAUAGUUGGUGAGGUAUUGGCUCACCAAGUCGAUGAUGUGUAGCUGGUCUGAGAGGAUGAUCAGCCAGACUGGAACUGAGACACGGUCCAGACUCCUACGGGAGGCAGCAGUGAGGAAUAUUUCACAAUGAGCGAAAGCGUGAUGGAGCAAUGCCGCGUGCAGGAUGAAGGCCCUCGGGUUGUAAACUGCUUUUAUAAGAGAAGAUUAUGACGGUAACUUAUGAAUAAGGGACGGCUAACUACGUG
rnacentral:rRNA from 1 species